AUUGAGGUCUAUCCUGAUGGGUCUUUUUUUGUAGACUUACAUCAUUGGAAACACUUCAUAGAAUAAAUACGUUGCUUCCUUUAUUCAUAGAACUGUGUGUUAGAUCUAUGGGAAGGGAUUACAAGACAUCU